GCUAAUAUGGCGAAACUGGAAUACGCAUCGGGUUUAAGCCCCGAUGGUGGUAACACCGUGUGGGUUCGACUCCCACUAUUAGCACCA
rnacentral:tRNA from 1 species